rnacentral:lncRNA from 10 species
CUGACUGUGCUUGGGCUCUGAAGCAUCCCGACCGUGAACCCGGAUGCAGGUCUCAUUUCCUGCACGCAACACCAGUUGAAGCUGGGAGUGAAGUUUCUCAGAAUGCCCUUCUCAGUACGAAUCCAGUUGAGUCUAGAGACAAGGAGGAAGACGCCAUUGCUCCCACAUGUCAAGGGCCUGGCUGGCUGAAAAAUCACAAGAAAUGUUACACAAGUUAGACAAUGUGACCU